rnacentral:ncRNA from 2 species
UUAAUCCACUAGGGGUGCACAUAAGCUGAGAGAGGUUUUAAAAACCUUAACCCUUUACCUGAUCUAGAUAAUGCUAGCGAAGGGAAGUGCGAUGUAUUGUUU